AAUAGUAACAAGACACAACCUUGAUGAUCUAAAACAAUCUGGAAUGCUAAGAAAAAAGACGAUGCACAUGGGAAAAGGUCUUACAUUUCCUUCUGUUGCUACUGAUGAAAACGAUCUUCAUUAAAGAAAACGACCCAGACCCAUGGACAGCAUCACCCGAAGCAAACUGGCAGGGAUCAGACAAUGCAUUGUAAAGAUUAAGCAGCACUGGGCCCCAACACAGAUGUGACUGUGGCCUACAGGAAGAUCUGCAGUCAGAGCCAGUACUCCAGACUACUGCCAGCAGAGACAAGAGGCCAUGAGGGCUCGAGUUUUCUCCUCCAAAUCUUGGUCGAUGGCAAAAAUGAUCUUGGCCCGCUCCUCUGCCUUCUUGUCUCCGGAGUUCCUGAAGAGCCUCUGCAGGGACUCCUGGUCUAUGUUCUCAAAGAUGUUGCCCACAGCUUUCUUGCGAGCAGCUGUGUCGAAGUGGUAGCCGUGGAUGGACGGGCUUACUCGAAGAGACGAGGACAUGCUGGUGGCUUGGUGGUUUGGCUUGGCUUUCAUCGAUGUGGGUCUUCCACUGCUCAGCUUGGGCACUUCCAGGGGAGUCUGUUGUAAAAAUCGUCCCAGGACGGCUAUUUAAAGUGUGAACAAAGCUCGGGACUCAAAUUACACUGGUGACGUCACAUUGAUCCCAGGGAGGAAAAAACCACAGAACAUUAACAGUUGCCUUGCCAAAGAUCUGGCUCCGGAUGCUAGAAUGCAUUUCAAAGCUUGUUUAGAGAUAGCUGGCUACAGGCUUGCCUCUUUACAUCUCAGACGGCAUUGUGCCUUACAAACUGGCUCUUCCUUCCAGAAGCUGAAAUCAGGAGAGAGAGAGAGAGAGAAAAGGCUCCAAACCUUUGCCUAGAUUGAAACAAGGAGUUCUGCCAAGCUCAACAGAGUUUCAAUUAGUACAAAAGUUUUAAAGUGUGGGCCAGACCCUGGCAGCCUAGGUCUGUGUGCCUUUUGCCUGUCCCUAUCAGGGUGAGGGUGAGGAAGUCAGAAGAAAAAAAAAUGUUUGGGAGGACAGGACAUCUGACUCUAGAGCUAAAGUUUGCUGACAGAAUACUGACAUGGCUCAGCCCUAAAGCACAAAUCUCAAACUGUACCUGAGUGCUGUGUGUAAUUUCUGCUGGGAACUACAAUUUAAACAGUAAUAGCGGCAGAUGGUAGCUCCCCAUCUUGUGUAGGUAUUGCCAGCAACGACUAUUCAAAAGCAAGGAGCAAAGGUUAAUGGAGGUGCUGUGGGUACUUAAUGCCCACAAGGAAUGAGCUGACAUUUUGUUUUGAGGGCUGCUUUGGAGCCACUCAGCAUUAUCAGAAUGAUGCUAUUUUCAUUACACGUUUUUAAUCUAUUACUUUUGCUAUCCACAAGACUCAGAUACGUACAGCUGUUCUAUGCUAAAUGUUACCUUCAUCUGACCGAAAGAUUCCUCUUUGUGAAUCAAAUCUCUACUGUCCUUUCUGGUCCUCCAAGAAACUAGAAUGGACUUUUUAUGUUAUUUCACUUAUAGGUAAGAAAAUCACACACCUAUAACCCCAUCUGUCUUAGAAGGCUGAGGCAGACUGGCAAGCUGCAGGACAGACUGAACUACACAGGAAUGCCCUGUCUCAGAAUUAAAUUAAAUGAAUAAAAUAG
rnacentral:lncRNA from 1 species